UAUGUUAUUUUACAAUAAUACUAUUGUAGUAGAGUAGUAAAAUUUAUUAUUUUAUUAUAAGAGUCUAGUAUAGUUGUAGUUUUCAUAAUAGUAGUGGCUAGUUGCCCGCUCAGGCUUUGCAUGGUAACUAAUAAUGAUCUCAGCUACAGCGAGGGGCACAACAGUAUUGUAUCAAGUUAGUCAUCUCUUUGUAAUUCGAUGAUAGCACCUAAGAUAUUUGUUUACGAGUAAAUUACAUGAUAUAAAGGACUAUCACAAUGUACAUAAAAAGCUUAAGGUAAUCCUGCCAGAAUUCUUAUUUUAACCGGUCAAUUUUGAAAAGGUUGUUCUAAUUUUCUACAAUUUGAUUAGUCAAAAAGCGUGGCUAAGCUAACUGACAGCGAUGAUUCUCUAUUUUCUUAAAAUGACUAUAGUUUAGUAAUCUGAUUCUUCUUUUUUCUCUGAAUCUUUAACUAAU